GACGAACGCUGGCGGCGUGCUUAACACAUGCAAGUGGAGCGACGAACCGGGGCUUGCCCCGGGGCAGAGCCGCGAACGGGUGAGUAACACGUGGGUAACCUGCCUCAAUGAUUGGGACAACCCGGGGAAACUCGGGCUAAUACCAAAUGUGUUCACUCCUUCUAAGGGGAGUGAGGAAAGGAAGCUUCGGCCUCCGCAUUGAGAUGGGCCCGCGGCCCAUUAGCUUGUUGGUGAGGUAACGGCUCACCAAGGCUUCGAUGGGUAGCUGGUCUGAGAGGACGAUCAGCCACACUGGGACUGAGACACGGCCCAGACUCCUACGGGAGGCAGCAGUGGGAAUCUUGCACAAUGCGCGAAAGCGUGAUGCAGCAACGCCGCGUGGGGGAAGAC
rnacentral:rRNA from 1 species